rnacentral:hammerhead_ribozyme from 1 species
AUCCGGCUGACGAAUCCCAUAUAGGAUGAAACACGCGUCCUGUAU